ACGCUGUGUCAGGCUGCAACAGCCUAAGUUUCUAUUUUCUAUCUGGGCUCCACUCGCAGUAGUAGGAUGCUCAUUGGCAACCCAAGGUGUGUAUGCCCCUACUUCCCCAAGAUGUGUGCUGUUGUGAGGCAUGUAGCACCACUUCUCCUGACUGCUAUAAUCAGUGGAAGAUCUCAUGACAUGGCGUCAUGGUCUCAUGGAAUGGACAUCAUGGGGCUUAUUAGGAACUCUGAGUUCAGCGGGCACCAUGCCGAAAGAGGUCAAUCUCUUCCAAUACACAAUCGCUAAGGUAUGUAUCAAUGUCUAAAGGUUAAAAAAGACCCAGGUUACACCAUAUGGUUUAGGUUGCUCACCUUGGUGGCUGACUAGGCGUUCAAAAAUCUUAGUGAGAGUAUAAAGGACAUUGUUGAUGGUGCAAUAAUGGAACACAACAAGUUGUGUGUGUGUGUGUGUGUGUGUGUGUGUGUGUCGCAUGACCUGGGAGUCUACAUCUAAGAGUUCCUUUCAGUUUUCUAUCAGAAACAUUUCUUUAUAAAAGUUCUGUUGGACACUUAUCUUCUCUUUACUUAUCGUUUCGUGGGACUACGAAAAAGUUCAUCUGUGUGUAACUACAAGGUUCUCGAAGUCCGCCCUCUCAUUGACAGGGUGAAAGUUGUGGAAUUUUUGCUUUAACUGCCUGGAGUAAGAUGACAGGACAUACAAAGAUGCAUUCAAGGUAAGCUCCAGUGAAAUUAGGUGUUCAUAAGACAAUUCUUUCAAGUUGCGACCUACAUUGUGGUGUCUCCGUUCAUCAAGUUCUGAGCACCAGCUCCAGUGAAAUUAGAUGUUCAUCCAGCCAUACUCCUAGGUGGAUUUCUUUGGUGUGCUUAUUAUUGUGUAGUUAGUGGUUAUGCACAUGCCUCAUCAUCUGAUAUUUCUGCAGUAGUUACUGAAAGCAAUCUGAGGACAAAGCUUUGAUUGUUGUUGUAGUUGAAGAUUCAGAGUUGCA